rnacentral:rRNA from 1 species
GACAGAGGCCUCAAGCGUUAGGCGGAAUCACUGGGCUUAAAGCGUGUGUAGGCGGGUCGGUAAGUACCUUGUGAAAUCCCACGGCUCACCCGUGGAACGGCUGGGUAUACUGGCGAUCUUGGGCCAACUAGGGGCGACUGGAACAAGCGGUGGAGCGGUGAAAUGCGUAGAUAUCGCUUGGAACGCCGAAGGUGAAAACAGGUCGCUGGGGUUGUGCCGACGCUGAGACACGAAAGCCAGGGGAGCAAACGGG